rnacentral:rRNA from 1 species
UACGUAGGGUGCGAGCGUUGUCCGGAAUUAUUGGGCGUAAAGAGCUUGUAGGCGGUCUGUCGCGUCGGCUGUGAAAACCCGAGGCUCAACCUCGGGCCUGCAGUCGAUACGGGCAGACUAGAGUGCUGUAGGGGAGACUGGAAUUCCUGGUGUAGCGGUGAAAUGCGCAGAUAUCAGGAGGAACACCGAUGGCGAAGGCAGGUCUCUGGGCCACUACUGACGCUGAGAAGCGAAAGCAUGGGGAGCGAACAGG